rnacentral:rRNA from 1 species
AUGAACGCUAGCGGCAGGCUUAAUACAUGCAAGUCGAACGGGAUUCGAGGUAGCAAUACUUUGAUGAGAGUGGCGCACGGGUGCGUAACGCGUAUGCAACCUACCUUUAACAGGGAGAUAGCCCCGAGAAAUCGGGAUUAAUAUUCCAUAACAUUGCGAAAUGGCAUCAUUUUGCAAUUAAAGCUACGGCGGUUAAAGAUGGGCAUGCGUGACAUUAGCUAGUUGGUGAGGUAACGGCCCACCAAGGCUACGAUGUCUAGGGGUCCUGAGAGGGUUAUCCCCCACACUGGUACUGAGACACGGACCAGACUCCUACGGGAGGCAGCAGUAAGGAAUAUUGGUCAAUGGGCGCAAGCCUGAACCAGCCAUGCCGCGUGCAGGAAGACGGCCCUAUGGGUUGUAAACUGCUUUUGUCAGGGAAUAAACCUGUCUACGUGUAGACAGCUGAAGGUACCUGAAGAAUAAGCAUCGGCUAACUCCGUGCCAGCAGCCGCGGUAAUACGGAGGAUGCAAGCGUUAUCCGGAUUCAUUGGGUUUAAAGGGUGCGCAGGCGGAUUAAUAAGUCAGGGGUGAAAUCCCACAGCUCAACUGUGGAACUGCCCUUGAUACUGUUAAUCUAGAGUAUAGUUGAAGUGGGCGGAAUGUGUCAUGUAGCGGUGAAAUGCUUAGAUAUGACACAGAACACCGAUCGCGAAGGCAGCUCGCUAAGCUAUAACUGACGCUCAUGCACGAAAGCGUGGGGAUCAAACAGGAUUAGAUACCCUGGUAGUCCACGCCGUAAACGAUGAUUACUCGAUGUUGGCGAUACACAGUCAGCGUCUAAGGGAAACCAAUAAGUAAUCCACCUGGGGAGUACGAUCGCAAGAUUG